GGUUCUAUGGUGUAAUGGUUAGCACUCUGGACUUUGAAUCCAGCGAUCCGAGUUCAAAUCCCGGUAGAACCU
rnacentral:tRNA from 1 species